CAGUAGCCGCGGUAAUACGUAGGGUGCAAGCGUUAAUCGGAAUUACUGGGCGUAAAGCGUGCGCAGGCGGUUUCGUAAGACAGAUGUGAAAUCCCCGGGCUUAACCUGGGAACUGCAUUUGUGACUGCGAGGCUAGAGUGUGUCAGAGGGGGGUGGAAUUCCACGUGUAGCAGUGAAAUGCGUAGAGAUGUGGAGGAAUACCGAUGGCGAAGGCAGCCCCCUGGGCCAAUACUGACGCUCAUGCAUGAAAGCGUGGGGAGCAAACAGGAUUAGAUACCCCUGUAGUCCCUGUCUCUUAUAC
rnacentral:rRNA from 1 species